AGUGAGUUUAUGUUUUCACCCUCACAGUGAAAAAGUGUUCCCUGAUGUUCAGGGCGAACCUCCUGUGUUUCGUUUUGUGCCCAUUGCCUCUGGUCCUGUCACUGGGCACCACUGAAGAGAGCCUGGCUCCAUCCUCUUUGCACCCUC